rnacentral:rRNA from 1 species
AGGAUUUUCUUAGUAGCGGCGAGCGAAAAGAAAAUAGUUCAGCACUAAGUCACUUUGUCUUUAUGGCAAAUGUGAGAUGCAGUGUAUGGAAUGUCAAAUUUCUAGUAUGAGAAAUUAACGAUUUAAGUCCUUCUUAAAUGAGGCCAUUUACCCAAAGAGGGUGCCAGGCCCGUAUAACGUUAAUGAUUACUAGAUGGCAUUUCCAAAGAGUCGUGUUGCUUGAUAGUGCAGCACUAAGUGGGUGGUAAACUCCAUCUAAAACUAAAUAUAACCAUGAGACCGAUAGUAAACAAGUACCGUGAGGGAAAGUUGAAAAGAACUCUGAAUAGAGAGUUAAAUAGUACGUGAAACUGCUUAGAGGUUAAGCCCGAUGAACCUGAAUAUCCGUUAUGGAAAAUUCAUCAUUAUGAUUUUAAUAUUUAUAAUAUUAUAAUAAUGGUGUGCAUUUUUUCUAUAAAGGACAUUGUAAUCUAUUAACAGUUUAUUCAAAUUAUUUUGCUUGCAUUUUAAUAUCGAAUAAAUGCUUUUGAUUUGAUAAAGUGUUGAUAGAUUUAUUGUAUACAGUGCUUAAAUAUUUAUAUUUUAUAAUAGCAUAUUAAUCAAUGAUUUUUAUGUUCAUUAUAUGCACUUGACCCGUCUUGAAACACGGACCAAGGAGUCUAACAUAUUUGCAAGUUAUUGGGAAUAAAAACCUAAUAGCGAAAUUAACAUAACUUUAAUGGGAUUAGUUUUUAGCCUAUUUAGUCUAUUAAUUCAAUCCCGGGGCGUUCUAUACAGUUAUGUAUAAUAAUAUUUAUAUUAUUUAUACCUCUAACUAGAGCGUACCUUGAGCAUAUAUGCUGUGACCCGAAAGAUGGUGAACUAUACUUGAUCAGGUUGAAGUCAGGGGAAACCCUGAUGGAAGACCGAAACAGUUCUGACGUGCAAAUCGAUUGUCAGAAUUGAGUAUAGGGGCGAAAGACCAAUCGAACCAUCUAGUAGCUGGUUCCCUCCGAAGUUUCCCUCAGGAUAGCUGGUGCAUUUAAAAAUUAUGUAAAAUAAUCUUAUCUGGUAAAGCGAAUGAUUAGAGGCCUUAGGGUCGAAACGAUCUUAACCUAUUCUCAAACUUUAAAUGGGUAAGAACCUCACCUUUCUUGGUAUGAAGGUUGUGGUUGUGAUAUAAUGUGCCCAGUGGGCCACUUUUGGUAAGCAGAACUGGCGCUGUGGGAUGAACCAAACGUAAUGUUACGGUGCCCAAAUUAACAACUCAUGCAGAUACCAUGAAAGGCGUUGGUUGCUUAAAACAGCAGGACGGUGGACAUGGAAGUCGUAAUCCGCUAAGGAGUGUGUAACGGUCCUAAGUUUAAGGCGAAAGCCGAAAAUUUUCAAGUUAUAAUGAAUAAUAGUUGACCACUUGAAUAAUUUUGAACGAAAGGGAAUACGGUUCCAAUUCCGUAACCUGUUGAGUAUCCGUUUGUUAUUAAAUAUGGGCCUUGUGCUCAUCCUGGCAACAGGAACGACCAUAAAGAAGCCGUCGAGAGGUAUCGGACAUGAGUUUUCUUUUCUGUUUUAUAGUCGUACUACCAUGGAAGUCUUUCGAAGAGAGAUAUGGUAGAUGGACUAGAAGAGCAUGACAUUUACUGUUGUGUCGAUAUUUUCUCCUCGGACCUUGAAAAUUUAUGGUGGGGUCACGCAAACUUCUCAACAGGCCGUACCA